rnacentral:rRNA from 1 species
AGCGAACGCUGGCGGUAGGCCUAACACAUGCAAGUCGAACGGCAGCACAGUAAGAGCUUGCUCUUACGGGCGGCGAGUGGCGGACGGGUGAGGUAUACAUCGGAUUAUACUUUUUCGUGGGGGAUAACGUAGGGAAACUUACGCUAACAACGCAUACGACCUACGGGUGAAAGCAGGGGUUCUUUGGACUUUGCGCGAUUGUAUAAGCCGAUGUCGGCUUCGCUAGUUUGCGGGGUAAAGGGCCACCAAGGCGACGAUCCGUAGCUGGUCUGAGGGGAAGAAUCGACACACGGUAACUGAGGCACGGUCCCGACUCCUGCGGUGGGAAGCAGUGGAGAAUAUUGGACAAUGGACCCGAGCCGGAUCCAGCCAUACCGCGUGAGUGAAGAAGGCGUUCGGGUUGGAGAGCCCUGAUGUUGGGAGAGAAAAGCAGCAGUUUAAUACCCCGCGGUUAUGACAGUACCCAAAGAAUAAGCACCGGCUAACUUCGUG